CUUGGGCUUUUAGCCCGGUGGUUGCGCUCUCGAUUGUCAUUCGGAGGACACAGGUUUGAACCCCAGGUAGAACGGAUGGCGAGUUACAAGUGGACAUGACAAGAAAAUAUUAGAGUCGACACUUCAUUUUUUUUUGCUUUUAUUUCAGCAUUUUUGCAUGAAUUUUGUCGUUGCAGUGACUAUUAUAACACCUGCCUCAAUAGCACCUGUUUCACGUCAGUCGUUUGUGACAAUCAGACCCAGAUGAUCAACUGUUGUAAAUUCAAGCCCGCACACCAUGUCGAAUCAUCAGCCACGAUUGCACUUUGUGUAACGCGUUCUUCUCCGUGCAGCCCUGAAUGCAACUAUUGAGGUACUUUUGACCACUUAUGGGCAUCAGGGGAAGGAGUUUUGCUGGACCGCAGAUUUGGAGGACACCAAUCAAAACCUGAACUGCAUCAACUAUGUCACAAGUCACUUUGCUGACAGAUGUGAAGAUACAGUAUGUCCGAAUGUGAGAUCAAUUCAUUCAACAUCACUCUGUCUAACGACCGCUGUAAUGGCACAUCUAAGUAUACAUAGGUUGGUUACCAGUGUGUCUGACAGAACCGCUAUCUAUGAUGAAGAGUUUGGCCAGUUUCCUUUGUUGUGUCACACAAAUAUGUACUCACUGUUGGUGCCUUAAGGGUGAAAUAAAUCAAGUUACU